AACCACUUAGAACUUGGAUAUCAUGGUGACAUGUAGGUAACUUUAAACCACUCGACAAAUGGCAAAGUUUCAAGAUUGUACAUGGUGGGGAUUUGAAACUACCUAUUCAUACCAAUAUAUAUGUGCAGUAUAUGCAAUCCUAUUAUCCUAUUUGCCUUGGUGCUCAGGAAGGCCAUUCUCUCACUUCUGCUAGGAUUUCAUGUGGAUUAACCUCUUCUACAUGUUUUCAAAUUUAUUCUACUUACUACAGCUUCAGAAACUUGUGUAGGGAUUGAAUAGUGAAGACUGGCCAUUAAUCUUCUACCCUCCAUAGACCCUUCCUAAUGUCAAUAAAAUGGUCUAAUCACACCAAAAAACUUGCAUAUCUAUAUUCAUUCAGGCUAUUAUUUGGUGACUUUACAUAGCUUCAGAAACUUAUCUAGGUAUUAAAAUAGUAAUGAUUGUGGCCAUUAAUCUUCAGACGUCCUUCCUUAUGUCAGUAAAAUGGUCUAAUCACACCCAAAAAAUUCAAGGUAAAAAUGUGUCCCAGUGUCCUAAUGUGUAAGGACUAGCUGUCUUUCUUCAAUAAAAAUCUAAAGGAAAUAUAGAAGCAAGCAGGGAGUUCAAGAGUGUACCAGAGAAAGCCAGUACUAUUAAUGCAGCCCGUCACUCCAUAACACCCAACGCACUCUUUGCCACCACCCAUCCAUGCCAGUUUGCUAGUAUUUGCAUGUCUGUGAAGAUAGAGAGAUAAGCGAGGAAUUUGAUAUGCUGAUAGAUAGGUAAAAAGACAGAUCGAGGUAAACAGAUAGAUGGGUAGAUGAAUAAAUUCGUAGAUAGAUAAUAAGAUAGAUAUGCAUGACAAGAUGUAUAUAUUCCUUUACUUAUUCUUAAUUCUUAGAAGUAGUCUAGAUUCUUGUAAAAGUGAUAGAAAUACAAAACGAAAGAAAUACCAUAGUCUGCCUUUCAAGUACCUCGGUUUUUUUUCUUUUCUUUUCCCGCGUGAUAUGAAAACACUCCCUGUAAAACGAGAAGUUGCUAAAUAUUUACUUCUUUGACAAAUAAUCAUAGAUGGACUGAUAACGAAGAGAAAGAUGUCACAAUGACCAAAAAAUCGGUAUAUGGAACUUGUAUAAGUGUAGUAUCUCAUUAAUAAUAGAUAUUUUAGUAAGUCAUCAUAGACAUUUAUACUAAGGACAGUCAUCACAAACACAGCUACGGCUACGACUCAACCGGGCGCGCCAGUUGUGUUGGUGUUGGUGGUAGUGGUGGUGGUGGUGGUGGUGGCGAUAGUGGUGGUGUUUCUCGUCUUGCACACACACACACACACACACACUUGUAUAUCAAUGGUGGUGUUUAGUGUUAGCCUGCAGUCGUCCCACACACACAGAUAAACAUGCCCCAAAACACACUCUUAUAUACCCGAAACACUCGUAAACACAAUAAAAACAAACAAACACACACACACACAAAGUGGAUAUUCCCUGCAAUAUUUACUGUUUAGCAACACCAAGCAGUGAAUGAACCAGCAGUGCAAGCAGUCAAUGCAUUACCACCACCAAUACAGCUCUCCACAGUGCCCUCCGUUCAUUUCUGUAAGGCUGAGACGUAUAGUUGGAAGCAGUAGAAGGAAGGCAAGAAAGAGGUAAAAGGAGGAGGAAGAAAGAAGAAAAGAAAAGGGAAGGGGAAGCGGCAGAGAAGCCAAGCCACAAUAUUUAGGGAACACUUCCUUAAAAGUGAAGCAAUGUUUAACUGGCGCUUUAAGAGGUGAGGAACAGAACAGUGUACCAGAAUGAGUGACUUUAGAGACGUUUAGUAAGUAAUCAUGAUAUCCCCCUCAGUUCUUCCUGUGCUAAUAUUCCUCUUCCUAAUCGCUUUAGUGUUUCUACUUAAAAGGGCGUCGAGAAGUGAAAAGAAAACCCGGUCAGCGAGGCGCCGCACGAGAAGUAGCACAGGGGCGCGUCAGUCCUUAUCGUCAAAACAGCAGCCCGCCACCAGAUACGGAGAAUGACUUACUGGGAAUGAAAAGUGUGGGAACAGUGGCUGAGGGGGAAACACGGCCUCCAGCCAAGCAGCACGAAGUUCAUGGGCGAGGCGAGGCUCAGAUGAUUAAAAAGCACAUUAGCUGAAGAAUCUUGCGUAUAGUCGGUUUAAUGAAGCAGUUUUCCUACCAAUAUUUUGUAACAAAAAUGAAAUCCUUCUUUCUAUGCUAGCUGUCAUUGGCUAGAACUGCUUCUAAGGUGUAUUACAGGCCUGCCUUCUUCCUCUCCCUCCACACUGAAUAAAAGACUAUUUCAAAACCUAGUCGAAACACGAUUAAAGCAAGCAACAAUCUUUGAGGGUUUUCAGGCAACCUCUUUUACUUUGACGUGAAUAAGAUCACAGGUCUUGAAUUCUUGAAGGCUUCAUUCCUUACAUCUCACCACGGUAGACUCUGGACCACGACAAAGAUUCGGGACGUCCUCACACUCGCGGCUCUCCCAUUGACGGUGUUAGCAUUCCCGCAACUCUGCAGUGACUGUGACGGUCAAAAGCGUAGAAAGAAGGGUAUACUAUUCCUCUUUCCUCGAUGCCGCGGCCUUCCUCUCACCUCUCCGUGAAAGUGAUAGAUCAUUUUUUUUUACUUAUUUUUUUCAGUUUACGUGUCACAAGCAAAUACAAAUGUCAGUAGAAGAGAAUAAUAAUGUAAAGUAACAAAGGAGGAAGGAGAGAGAGAGAGAGAG